rnacentral:misc_RNA from 1 species
UUUCCGUAGGUGAACCUGCGGAAGGAUCAUUAUUGAAUGAAACACUUCUGGCUUUAUGCUGUUGUGCUGGCCCUUUGGGCAAUGUGCACACGGCUCUGGUCACUUGUUUCUUCUGUUCCACCUGUGCACUGCCUGUAGACACGCAGUGUCUAUGAUAUUUGUUAACACACAACAAUGUUAGUUGGCAUGUUAUAUAUAAUAAUAAAAUAUACAACUUUCAACAACGGAUCUCUUGGCUCUC